rnacentral:rRNA from 1 species
UACGGAGGGUGCAAGCGUUAAUCGGAAUUACUGGGCGUAAAGCGCGCGUAGGCGGUUUUUUAAGUCGGAUGUGAAAGCCCCGGGCUCAACCUGGGAACUGCAUCCGAUACUGGAAGACUAGAAUGCGGGAGAGGGAGGUAGAAUUCCAUGUGUAGCAGUGAAAUGUGUAGAUAUAUGGAGGAAUACCAGUGGCGAAGGCGGCCUCCUGGCUCGACAUUGACGCUGAGGUGCGAAAGCGUGGGGAGCAAACGAG